rnacentral:rRNA from 1 species
UACGGAGGAUCCAAGCGUUAUCCGGAUUCAUUGGGUUUAAAGGGUGCGUAGGCGGCUUUGUAAGUCAGUGGUGAAAUAUGGCAGCUCAACUGUCAGGGUGCCAUUGAUACUGCGGAGCUUGAGUACAGAUGAGGUAGGCGGAAUUGACGGUGUAGCGGUGAAAUGCUUAGAUAUCGUCAAGAACACCGAUAGCGAAGGCAGCUUACUGAGCUGUAACUGACGCUGAGGCACGAAAGUGUGGGGAUCAAACAGG